GAGUUUGAUCCUGGCUCAGAUUGAACGCUGGCGGCAGGCCUAACACAUGCAAGUCGAGCGGAUGACGGGAGCUUGCUCCUUGAUUCAGCGGCGGACGGGUGAGUAAUGCCUAGGAAUCUGCCUGGUAGUGGGGGACAACGUUUCGAAAGGAACGCUAAUACCGCAUACGUCCUACGGGAGAAAGCAGGGGACCUUCGGGCCUUGCGCUAUCAGAUGAGCCUAGGUCGGAUUAGCUAGUUGGUGGGGUAAUGGCUCACCAAGGCGACGAUCCGUAACUGGUCUGAGAGGAUGAUCAGUCACACUGGAACUGAGACACGGUCCAGACUCCUACGGGAGGCAGCAGUGGGGAAUAUUGGACAAUGGGACGAAAGCCUGAUCCAGCCAUGCCGCGUGUGUGAAGAAGGUCUUCGGAUU
rnacentral:rRNA from 1 species